GUGUUCUCGUACGAUCUCCGAAGUUGAGCAACGUCGAGCCUGGUCAGUACCUAGAUGGGUGACCGCUUGGCAAUACCAGGUGCUGUAAG